rnacentral:lncRNA from 1 species
UUGUGAGGCAAAGUUUACAUUUUUAAUUCCAAUUAGUUUAAUUUUAGUUAUUCAUGUGUUUCUUGAAAUCUAAAUGUUAGUUUUUGGAUGAUAAUUUUGUUAGUUUGUUUGAUUAGGAAGUCAUAAAUUUGUUGCCUUAGUGAUUGUUGGUCAAAUUUUUUUGAGGGCCAUUGGAAAUCCAUGAAGGUUGGCCUUUACUCUCACCACUUUAAUUGACAAGAUUUCCUAAAAUCUUUAUUUCAUGAUCUUUGUU